CCCCUAGAUGUUCUGGGCCGCACGCGCGCUACACUGAACAGUUCAACAAGUCUUAACCUUGGCCGAUAGGUCUGGGUAAUCUUUGAACGCUGUUCGUGAUUGGGAUAGACCUUUGCAAUUAUGGGUCUUCAACGAGGAAUUCCUAGUAAACGCAAGUCAUCAGCUUGCAUUGAUUACGUCCCUGCCUUUGUACACACCGCCCGUCGCACCUACCGAUUGAAUGGUCCGGUGAAAUCUCGGGACGGCGGCUUGGUCGCUUGCGUCCGACUGCUGAAACUUGAUUAAACCAUAUCAUUUAGAGGAAGGUGAAGUCGUAACA
rnacentral:rRNA from 1 species